GAAAGCACUUUAUUGUGCCUUGUGCGCUGUGUGAUUGGUCUCUGUCGGAUAAUAGUAGCUAUAAUCAAUACUACUCUUCGUUCCACUUUUCACUUUCCUCUUUCUCUCUGUCAGUAGGAAUUCAAGCCGAAAUGGCCUGAAUUCUCCGGCGAACCUUGACGCCGACGUAUCUUCUUCUCUGCCGACUUUCGCUGCCGAUCGUGUUUUUCUAGCAAAAGUCGAUGAUAUGAUCACGAGUUUUUACAAAGCUCAAGCUUCUGCGGCUUCUUCUAGCUCUCCUUUGACAAGUUCUCCAUGUCCAAUUAUUAAUAACAAUAUUAAUCCCUCCCAAGCAUCGGAUAAAGGAUGGGAUUAUGAGCCCGAUCCUGCUAAAAGAAAACCAAUUUCAGAAUAUCCUCCUAAUUUUUCUUCAAUGAAGUUUAUUAAAAAUGAUUUUCGAAACAGGAUUGGUGAUGACUUUUUGAAUGAUUGUUUAGUUUAUUUUAUAGAGGAUGAAGUAUUUGAAAGUGUAUCUAAUGAUGCAAUCAUUGAUCGUUUUCAAAACAUGACAACUCGUCGAGUGCAAUUGAAAUGAUAAUGUUUAUAUUCGUAUA